CCUACGGGAGGCAGCAGUGGGGAAUCUUGCGCAAUGGGCGAAAGCCUGACGCAGCCAUGCCGCGUGAAUGAUGAAGGUCUUAGGAUUGUAAAAUUCUUUCACCGGGGACGAUAAUGACGGUACCCGGAGAAGAAGCCCCGGCUAACUUCGUGCCAGCAGCCGCGGUAAUACGAAGGGGGCUAGCGUUGCUCGGAAUUACUGGGCGUAAAGGGAGCGUAGGCGGAUAGUUUAGUCAGAGGUGAAAGCCCAGGGCUCAACCUUGGAAUUGCCUUUGAUACUGGCUAUCUUGAGUGUGGGAGAGGUAUGUGGAACUCCGAGUGUAGAGGUGAAAUUCGUAGAUAUUCGGAAGAACACCAGUGGCGAAGGCGACAUACUGGCCCAUUACUGACGCUGAGGCUCGAAAGCGUGGGGAGCAAACAGGAUUAGAUACCCUGGUAGUCCACGCUGUAAACGAUGAGUGCUAGUUGUCGGCAUGCAUACAUGUCGGUGACGCAGCUAACGACAUUAAGUACACCUCCGCCGUCGGGGUAGGUACGGUCGCGAAGAAGUUAAACUAACGAAAGAAGUUAGUACGGCGUGAGACGUCGCCGACGGACGACGACGAGGGAGGAGG
rnacentral:rRNA from 1 species